rnacentral:rRNA from 1 species
GACGAACGCUGGCGGCGUGCUUAACACAUGCAAGUCGAACGGAAAGGCCCUGCUUUUGUGGGGUGCUCGAGUGGCGAACGGGUGAGUAACACGUGAGUAACCUGCCCUUGACUUUGGGAUAACUUCAGGAAACUGGGGCUAAUACCGGAUAGGAGCUCCUGCUGCAUGGUGGGGGUUGGAAAGUUUCGGCGGUUGGGGAUGGACUCGCGGCUUAUCAGCUUGUUGGUGGGGUAGUGGCUUACCAAGGCUUUGACGGGUAGCCGGCCUGGGAGGGUGGACGGCCACAAUAGGACUGAGGUAGGGACCAGAGUGCUACGGGAGGCAGCAGGGGGGAGUAUUGCACAAUGGGCGGAAGCCUGAUGCGGAAGCGCCGCGUGCGUAAUGCCGGCCUUCGGGUUGUAAACCGCUUUCGCCUGUGACGAAGCGUGAGUGACGGUAAUGAGUAAAGAAGCACCGGCUAACUACGUG